CAGGGCUAACCAAGGAGAGCUCAAGUGCAUGUAAUGCCCAUGAGUGACUGGAAGGGGUAGAGUUAGAAUCCACCCUUUCCCAGACUUUGUUUCAGGGUUAGUUGUGGAGGUGAGGGGAUCUUGCUGGUAGUCCCUACAUACUUGAGGCCUUCCAAAGGUACCAGACAGUUUUGUUGGUUGGAUUACUUGAGAUGGAAGCAGUGUGAUAAAUUACAACUGCAGGAGUAUACUGUGUUUAACUGCACAAUCAGAGUUUAAAACUUCAGAUUAAACUGUACAAAGCCUCUGAACUAAUUGUCAGAAAAUAUCGUCAGGGGACAGCCUUGGCAUCACUGAAAUCACUGAAUUUUGGAGAUGCUGUUACUCUCCAUGCACCUUGUCCUUGUGACAAUACUCAUUGUUAGCUGUGUCUACUGGGCUGCCACAGUUCGGGAUCAGCUUGAUGAAAGCCAUCAGCAGGUCUACAAAGUGCCACAGAUUGUUUGACACAGAAUUCUGUCUUGGGCAUGGUUCUUAUGUUGAUGCAAUUGUAAAGCAAUGAAAAGCGGACUAAAAGGAGGGAUGGAGGGAUGGAUAGCAAGGUCCCAUUUGUUCUGUCUACCUGGGCUGCUUUAGCUGUGUUGGCAGACUGAAAAUAAACCACCAUUAAUAAGAAAAAGGAUGUGACCUCAGCUGUAGGAAGAGCUGUGCCCUAUUCAUGUAAAGGAAUUUUCUGUAUAACUCAUGCACAAGUUUUCUCCAUUACAGCAGGGCUCACGCUUAGGCAUGUUGUCAGAGCAUUUACAUUAUCUUUUUUCCUAAGAGCAAACUUUAAAACUGCAGUUCAGUCAACAUCAAAGCUUAUAUCAAAACAGAAGGGAGGAUUUUUUCCUACAUUACUUGGUGUUGAAUCUCUAAUAAAAACCAAACCAAAAAGCAAACAACUCACAAAGCAAAAAUAAACAACAAAACAAAAACCAAAAAUCAUAAAAAAAAAUACAACAACAACAAAAAACAAAAACAAAAAAAGCAAUCAAACAAUCCCAAACCAAAACAAAGGAGCUGGGGCAAGUAUGAGAAUAGGAAUGGCCAAUAGGAAGCUCCAAUUUCAUUCACUUCACAGAAGAGGGUCUAUACACAAUGCUAGCUUGCUCUUACUGUGAAAUACUCCACUGCUGCUACAACACCUGUAAGCUUUUGAGUGAGAUUCUAACUAUGAAUUACUUAUCAUUCCUUUUUUUGUUUGUUUGUUUUUGUUUUUGUCAUCUUCUAUUUAGGAGAUACAAACACAAGUGUCUUUUAAUGUGCUUCUAAAGUUCAAAAGGAAUGACCUCUGUGCAGAUUUAAUUAUCUGAAAGUCUCUUACUGUGCUAUACUUCUAAUGUUUGUGGAGCAACUAGCUGUCAUUUAGCUUGAUUUAACCAACUUACUGAUAAUGAGCCACAGGCAGGCUUUAGGCAUCACACAACUAUUUUCCUCUUUUCAUCGUUUACUGCAAGUGAAAAUAUAAUAGGAUUUCCCCAAAUAUUCUGACAGUAUAUACCUAUUUUAAUCAAUUCGAAUUUUAAUGAUUUCAUUCAUUCUCGCUGUCCUUGAUUGUCCUCCAAUCAAUUGUUAGAUUAUAGUUUGACAACUUUGAUGUCUGAAAAUUUCUGCAUGUUGCUUAAAUGGUGUGGCUGGCUCCAGUAGGUCUGUGGGUGUUUAUCAUUAGUAGGUAUUUUUAAAGUUAAUCAUUAAUCUACUACAUUGUCAUUUUAGGAAUGAUUUUUUUUUUUCUGGCUUUGUAAGCCAUUUGUAACAGACUCCCAGAUGUUCUGAGAUAAAAGAUGCUGCACAGACCAAUGGGAAUAUUACCAGUGUGUUUCCAAAACAGACUUUGUCCACUGCUUAAAAAUAAAUGCAAAGAAAAUUCCUUGCAAAGGUAUUAAACAUUUAACAGCCUUAAAAAUGGUUAUUUAAAUAACUGAGGGGCUCAUUUCCUUAAUCAAGAAGGCUUUUAGAUUAAUUUUUGCAAGAUUUUAAUUAUUCUGUUGUAUGUAAUGGUAAUAUUCCUCUUCAGAUAUUCACACAUGCUGAUUUCAACAUCAGAACUAUAAAUGUCAACUUUACAAAGCAUUCAGCAAGCUUUCUGAUAAAUCUAAUACUUGUACUUUUGUUUUCGGUUGAAUUAUUAUUUGACCCGUAUCUGCCUACUGGCUUUCUAUUCCCAUCUAGAUAUACUAGUGAGUUACGUCAUACUGAGCCCUACUGGUUUUGAGAGGGGGAUAUGGCGUUCAGCAGCAGCCCAUGGCUCCUGGACUUCUCAUAGUGUGAUGGACUUCCAGAGUUCCCGGUAUUCACACCCUGUGCAUCUCAGAGGUAUCUUAUCUGUGAGCAGAUGAUGCUGAAAUGCGUGUGUUACUGCAUAUACUGGGAUCAGUUCUCGGGAGCUGACAUCUCUCAGUCUCACAGUGUAGAAGUACUGGAUCUGUGACUUCUGAAUCUGUCUACUGCUUUUUCAUGUGCAGUUUAAGUAUAUGCUUAGAGUAAUAAAAGGUAUGUACUGAAGGAAGAUGAUGUUUUUUUCAGAUUUAUAGUACUGUUGCUUAUUUCAAAGUAUGCAAUUUAGACUUGUUCUUAUUAGGGAAAAUGUAGCAGUGAGAAAGUUUAUGUUAGUUCCUGAACUAGAUGCUGAAAAUAAGGGCGAGGCUUUUAAAGUUAUAAUGUGUGUUUUGCAACAACUGGUGUUUUCUCUUUUGAGGGGAUUAAUGAAAUGCUUUAGAGCUGCUUUCUGUGAUGGCCUGCAGCACAUUAUUGAGGGUUCAUUAUCUUGUCAAAGCCUGUAAAAUAUGGACCCUACAGGAGUGAUGAUGAGGUGCACAGUAAGUUGAUAAGGAGUCAGUCCCCCUGCAUGGAGCCAGGAGGAAAAAUGCUACAAUAGAUACAAAUGGAAAGGAAAGUACAAGACCCUGUGAGAAUCUACCAGCAGUACUGGUUCUAAAUUUGUUUUGGACAAAUUGGAUUUGUUGCUUUUCAGUUUUCUUUCUGUAAACUCUCCUGUGACUUUAUUGUCAGCUGAAAUGCUUAUUGACUGAGAAGUGCUUGCAUUUUAGUGAUGGAUAUGGUGAUCCUGGUAAACACUUUGGGGCAAUAUUGUGAUGCAAUAUGCUGUGUAAGUGUUUAUGUCACAUAAUGGAAUGGGCAGACACUUAUUUAAAUAAAAAUUAGAGUAGAAAUCUCAUUGUUUCAGCAGCCAUUAGUUUCACUAAAGCUAAUAUAAAGAUAAGAGUUAAAUGAUCUGUGGAUGUAUACAAAUGUAUUAAAGUAGAAAAAUAACGCCAAAUUCAAUGUCAUUAUUACUGGGAGAAGUGCCAGCAUUCUUGUUAUUUUUAAUGACUUCCAAACUGUGUCCUUAGAGAUUGAUGAGGUAAGCGAUUUCAGAUGGGAAACUUGAUAUCCUCAGUGCUGAAAGGUGUUGAGCACUCUCACUUAUUAGGGAGCAUGGCCAAGCCUGGGAUGCUCUGUGAGACAGUAGACAAGAACCAUAGGUUAAAGGCAGCUGUGGCCAUUCUUUUUAGUAGGAGAAAGGAGAAAUACUUGCACUGCAGGAAAUCUGCAGAGUCCAGCUCGUGUGAUGAUGAAAUGACUGCUUUGGAAGUUAAAACUACUGGAAAGAUGACCUUGUGAUAACAGACCAACUCACAAGUUUGGCAGAUUUAAAGCAAACACAAAGCAAAAACUAUAUAUAUGUUUUUAAUGCAAUAGAUUAGAAGGUGGAGAUCACUAUAAGAGAUUGCAAAGAGAUAAAUUCAUGAAAGGUUGGCUAACUGACGGCUGACAUACAGCCCUCAGCUCAGAAGACUCAUAAAUCACUGGUUGUUCAAAUUUGAAAUAAACCAGAAGUAAGUGUCUACUAUGCAUCUCUUCUGGUUCCUUGGUCUCUGUUACUGACCACUACAGAGACCGGUUGCUCAGUUGUCCUCCCUAUGGAACAACUGCUGUAUGGCUGACUCUAAAUCCAAAGAUUAUUUGCAGAGUCUAUCUUAGAGCUGAGAAGUUAUUAUCUUGUCAUGUAUAUUUCAGCUGGCUACAUUGCACUUACCACUAACGUUGAUCUCUGGCAUCCUGGCUGUGACUUCUCUAGCCAAGGUGAUGGACUGGGCUGUGGGUGCAAGGAGGAGCACCUUCGCUAAGUGAAUGCUGUCAGAGCUUUGGGAAGGGCUGGGAAGCCCUGCAAGACCUUUCUUUUGUUUACCUGAAAACAAGGUUGUAGAGAGAGAGGAUGGGAGGGAUAUGAGUUGCUGGGAGCACACAAAACAUCUGUGUAUUUUAAUUUCUGUUCUAUGGUGGAAAAACUUCCUGACUUGCUUUUUUGGGAUGUGGAUUUGAAAGUCUACUUUAAAAUGGGACAGAAGAACACGUACAACGAGACAACUGUCAGUGAGGAACAAAAUACUAUUGCUCUGCAGUCUCAGGAGUAGUUUCUGCAGCAGGACAUGUGCAAGGAGAGCUGUAGCUACUGGAAGUAUAGGUGAGCAGUCUACUAUGUAAAUUUUCACUAACCUCAAGUGUAAGU